UUUAAAGUGGCCCUCCGAGAGAACUUUUGGCCACAAACUGAGCAUGAAAAAGGUUUCUCACCAGUGUGGAUUCUUGUGUGCCUAUUUAAACUUACCCUAUGACAGAAUUUCUGGCCACAAACUGAGCAUGAAAAAGGUUUCUCGCCAGUGUGGGUUAAUGUGUGCGAAUUUAAAUUGCCCCUAUCAGAG